GCCGAAGUGGUGAAACUGGUAGACACGCACGUUUCAGGGGCGUGUGGCGAAAGCUGUGUGGGUUCGAGUCCCACCUUCGGCA
rnacentral:tRNA from 1 species